rnacentral:ribozyme from 1 species
AUCCAAAGUUUCUUUUUCUUUUUCUUUUUCUUUUUCUUUUUCUUUUUCCUUUUGCAAGCAGAGUCGCCUACCAGCUGUGUUCCACCAUAAACAAAAUAGGAGGACAAGUCAGCGGACAUUA